rnacentral:lncRNA from 1 species
AAAGGUCUGUGCCCCACCAGCCCCCUCAGUCCUGAGCAAGCUGAGGCAGUGGGUCACCCUAGACUGGAGCAAUGUGCAUGACAGUGGGAAGAGCCAGUGACUCUCUUUCGUGUCCCCUCCCCCCUCAACUUCAGAAGUCACCCAGGUGGGCACUGGCAUCCAGGAUGAAAACUUCCCAGCAUCCUUUGCAGCAAGGAGUGGCCACAUGACCAGGCAGUGGCCAAUGCACAUGAGGCCAGUGCACAGCAACUGCCUUUAGAGGAAGGAAGAUUUGUGUCCUCAUAUUCUCUUCUCCCCUCCCUGCUCACUGGCAGUAGAUAGGAUGGACACUGUGGGGGAAGCUACACCCUAAGAAAGUCAGAGCAGCAAGAUGGAAGUAGCCUAAGACCCUGAAAAAUGCACAAAGAAGAAUCACCCGACUGGCUUGGACUUUCAUGUGAAAGGAAUGAACCUCUGUCUUAGUAAAGCCACUGUCUUUACUAAGUUCAGGGUCCUUGUCACGUUCACUGAGGCUGUAACAUAAUUGUUAGAAAGAACAGGAGUGGGAGGGGAGAUGGAGUCGGAGAGUCAGGCAGAGGUUAGAUCACAUCGGGCCUGUAGGCCAAGGCGGAGGAAGAAACAGGCGACACAGGACUCAAGGACAACACCUGCUCCCAGGCAAAAGGAGUUUGUUAAGACAUUGCAUUAAAUAGCAAGAUGGCAGAUGAACAUCAGGAAAGAACAUUAGGAACAUCCACAGUGUUCCAUCCAGGAACCUUCACCAUGGAAACCCUUGUGCUCAUGGGCCUGGUCUCAAGACACAUUCAGCUGUUGGGGAUCAGAGGCCGCACUCAUCGUAGCAGAGAGGCAGGACCAACUGGGAGAGGGUCAUUCUGUGACACCUACUGCAUCACCGGGCUGUGUGAAGUGACUCAGCUGCCAGAACUCACACAAUAUCAUUCUACACCAAAACCUCACGGGAAAAAUCACUAAAGUUUCAAUAUGGCACCUUAAUUCCUUAACGAAGAGAAAGAAUGUAUAUCUUGUGGUAAUGGGGACCAGCAGCUCCAUGAAUCAAAGCUUUCUGUGGCUCGAUCUAGUUCAGAGUCUGAGUGAUACAUUUAAUGUGCCAGCAAAAGCCUCUGGUAAACAGGGAGCAGUGUUACAGCCAGCAGAGCCCAAGAGCUUGCCAGAGCUGAUGGAGAUUGAAGGGAGCAGGUUGGAGCUCCUCCUGAGGCAGAAUGAGAGGAAGGCUCUCCCCAUCUCCUGAGUGUCGGGCUGGACUCAAAGGGGAGAGAAAAUAUUUUAAAUAAAACAAAACACUGUCGUUGCAAUAAAAUGUGACAAUUCUC